ACUUAAAUUGAAGAGUUUGAUCAUGGCUCAGAUUGAACGCUGGCGGCAGGCCUAACACAUGCAAGUCGAGCGGUAGCACAGAGAGCUUGCUCUCGGGUGACGAGCGGCGGACGGGUGAGUAAUGUCUGGGAAACUGCCUGAUGGAGGGGGAUAACUACUGGAAACGGUAGCUAAUACCGCAUAACGUCGCAAGACCAAAGUGGGGGACCUUCGGGCCUCAUGCCAUCAGAUGUGCCCAGAUGGGAUUAGCUAGUAGGUGGGGUAACGGCUCACCUAGGCGACGAUCCCUAGCUGGUCUGAGAGGAUGACCAGCCACACUGGAACUGAGACACGGUCCAGACUCCUACGGGAGGCAGCAGUGGGGAAUAUUGCACAAUGGGCGCAAGCCUGAUGCAGCCAUGCCGCGUGUGUGAAGAAGGCCUUCGGGUUGUAAAGCACUUUCAGCGGGGAGGAAGGCGAUAAGGUUAAUAACCUUGGCGAUUGACGUUACCCGCAGAAGAAGCACCGGCUAACUCCGUGCCAGCAGCCGCGGUAAUACGGAGGGUGCAAGCGUUAAUCGGAAUUACUGGGCGUAAAGCGCACGCAGGCGGUCUGUCAAGUCGGAUGUGAAAUCCCCGGGCUCAACCUGGGAACUGCAUUCGAAACUGGCAGGCUAGAGUCUUGUAGAGGGGGGUAGAAUUCCAGGUGUAGCGGUGAAAUGCGUAGAGAUCUGGAGGAAUACCGGUGGCGAAGGCGGCCCCCUGGACAAAGACUGACGCUCAGGUGCGAAAGCGUGGGGAGCAAACAGGAUUAGAUACCCUGGUAGUCCACGCCGUAAACGAUGUCGAUUUGGAGGUUGUGCCCUUGAGGCGUGGCUUCCGGAGCUAACGCGUUAAAUCGACCGCCUGGGGAGUACGGCCGCAAGGUUAAAACUCAAAUGAAUUGACGGGGGCCCGCACAAGCGGUGGAGCAUGUGGUUUAAUUCGAUGCAACGCGAAGAACCUUACCUGGUCUUGACAUCCACAGAACUUUCCAGAGAUGGAUUGGUGCCUUCGGGAACUGUGAGACAGGUGCUGCAUGGCUGUCGUCAGCUCGUGUUGUGAAAUGUUGGGUUAAGUCCCGCAACGAGCGCAACCCUUAUCCUUUGUUGCCAGCGGUUAGGCCGGGAACUCAAAGGAGACUGCCAGUGAUAAACUGGAGGAAGGUGGGGAUGACGUCAAGUCAUCAUGGCCCUUACGACCAGGGCUACACACGUGCUACAAUGGCAUAUACAAAGAGAAGCGACCUCGCGA
rnacentral:rRNA from 1 species